rnacentral:rRNA from 1 species
UACAGAGGGUGCAAGCGUUGUUCGGAAUUAUUGGGCGUAAAGGGCGCGUAGGCGGUGCGGUAAGUCUGCAGUGAAAUCUCUGGGCUCAACUCAGAGUCUGCUGUAGAAACUGCCGUGCUUGAGUGCGGAAGAGGGUCGUGGAAUUCCCAGUGUAGAGGUGAAAUUCGUAGAUAUUGGGAAGAACACCGGUGGCGAAGGCGGCGACCUGGUCCGAUACUGACGCUGAGGCGCGAAAGCGUGGGGAGCAAACAGG